CCCGAGAUCCGAACCGGAGGAGUCUCUUAAGCUUGCGUGUUCCCGGCUGCAGUGGCUGCCUUGCGGUAUGGGACGAGCGGGGCCCGAGCGGGCGGAAAUUUGAGAGUUGAAAAAUACUCCCAGAAUCCACAUACUACAUCAGAAAGACUUGGAACUCUCCUGCCAGCAUGGUGCCUGCACUGCUGCUGUGUAUCUGCCUUUGGUGCAGCCAGAAACCAGCCACACGAACCUUGGUACCAGUGAACUUGUGCUGGCCACUGGGCAUUAGGGCAUUGACUACAAGAGCCGAUCAGAGGGGUGGGGUGUAGAGGGGUACGGGUAAUAAAGAGGAUGUGACCUCAGGUUGAUGCUCCAGCUGGACCUUGGCAACUGAAGGCUCCUCCCUCCUCCCCCACCCUUGGGGUGUAUAUUUCACCCAUUGCUGGCAAGGGGGGAGCCAUUUCAAGGUCACUGCCUUGAGAGAGCAACGUGGAGACCAUCUGCCCUGAAAAUGGACUGAACACCAAGCGCCUGUCUACUCACCUCUCAGCGAAGGAGACAAGCCCUUUAAGUAAGUUCCCUGGCUUGUUAGAACUACCUUCCAGGGUUUGGGUGAUCCACCUCUUCCUGUGGUCUCUCCCUGCCCUCUUUCCCGGGGUCAGUUUCAGAUUUCACCAGGGAUUUUUCCUGAAGUUCCCUGCCUUUCAGCAGCAAACAGGUGUGUUAACAUGACUCGCAGGACAUCCUAUAGAUGUAGACGCAGCAGGUGCGGGUAGGUGGAUGGCACAGAGAACUGCACCUGGUGUAGAGCAGGCACCCCCACCUGGCCACUAACUGUGCAGUUUCGUCCACUUCUUCUGACGUUUGGCAACUUUACUGUCUGAAAAAAUCCAGAAAAAUAGUUCUCAAACGAUGCUCUUACAGCAUAGGCAAUGCUUCUGAUUGAAUAGAGCAGUUCUGCGAAAAUUGAUUAAUGGCGAUUCUCACCCUCCAAUUAACAGAAGUGAAACAACUUUUGUGCCAAAACACGGAGGGAGGAUUAACAUUCUGACGCGGACAUUCGGAGUGACCUGGGUUGGGCUGUUUAUUUUUCCCUCGUGAGCCCAACACUUCAUCUGUCAAACAGUAAAAUUAAUACACCCCCUGUGAAACCACUCUGGGGGUCAAGAGAAAUUUGUACAACAGCUGAGUACUGUGUCUAGAAUACAGUUGAUAUUCAAAAUUAAUAAUUUUAUGUUUUGCACUUCCCAUUUAUCUGGACUGCAGCAUUCUUUUGUGUUUAGAAUCAUGCAGUUCAAUAGCACUAAUUACUGUUCUCCUCUGGACAGGAGCAUUGUGGUAACAGCUCAAAGGAAGUAGAAGUGAAAUACUAGUUGAACUGGAAAGACAGAUUCAAUCAUAAUGUUCACUUAUGUGUCACAGAAAUGUAAUUUUGUGUUGAUGUGUGUGCAAGAGAGAGAUAUCUAAAGAAAGCCAGAGAGAUGAGAGCCAGAGAUAUUGAAGGAAGAUAACAUCACAGAAGGGAAUGGUCUGAAAUGUGUAUUGCUUUGGCAUCUCAUUUCACCCAGUAUUUCUGAUUAUUGGAAAAUUAUAGGCCAAUGGUGUGGUGUGUGUGAUGUGUGUGUAUAUGUGUGUUUCCAAUUGUUUAGAGACGACAAUAAAAAGGAUUUUAGAUUAAUCAGUGGCUGAGGGCCAGGUGGAAUAUAAUGAUGGAUUGCCAAAGAAACCACCCCACAAGAGACAGCCAGAGGUAUGAUAAAAGAGAAAUACAUAUUUAUACCUUGUUCAAAGUAGCUUACUUCAGGUGCAUUCAGAAAAUUGUUUUCCUCUAUGAGGGUUUGAUGGUGCAUUGACUUGCAGCUAACCAACCUUGUCAUUUAGUGCUUGGGACAGCUGUCCUUUCUUUGUGAAAAUGCUUGGAUACCCAGGAGAAGUUGAAAUUGAAAUUUUUAUUUACAUUACAGUGAUGAUGCUUUUUAUCAAAUACACAAAGAGAGGAAACCACAAUCUAUAGCAUUAUUAUAUAUCAUCAUACAUUCUUUUUUUUUGGUCUUUUUGUCCUUUUAGGGCCACACCAAAGGACAAAAGGUUCCCAUAGGGAGGUUCCCAGGCUAGGUGU